GCAGGUAUGAAUAACAUCUGCGGAUGAAAUAAUUAUUCGAGUGUUUGUUUUUAUUGGAAUAAUUAGAUGAUGGUAUGUUUCUAGGAGUAGGAAUGAACCUUCAUUUAGUUCAUUUAAAGGAAUUAUAUAUGAAUCAAAUUCAAUGUUUAU